GACGAACGCUGGCGGCGUGCCUAAUACAUGCAAGUAGGACGCAGUUGCGAACGUGUGAGUAACGCGUAGGUAACUACCUGUUAGACGGGGGUAACUAUUGGAAACGAUAGCUAAUACCGCAUACUAGUAGAUGGACCUGCGUUGUAUUAGCUAGUCGGUAGGGUAAUGGCCUACCUAGGCAACGAUACAUAGCCGAGCCGAGAGGGUGAACGGCCACACUGGGACUGAGACACGGCCCAGACGCCUACGGGAGGCAGCAGUAGGGAAUCUUCGGCAAUGGGGGGAACCCUGACCGAGCAACGCCGCGUGAGUGAAGAAGGUUUUCGGAGCGUAAAGCUCUGUUGUUAAGGAAGCGGUACUUAACGAGAAAGGGACGGCUAACUACGUGCCAGCAGCCGCGGUAAUAC
rnacentral:rRNA from 1 species